GGCUCAGGAUGAACGCUAGCGGGAGGCCUAACACAUGCAAGCCGAGCGGUAUUGUUUCUUCGGAAAUGAGAGAGCGGCGUACGGGUGCGGAACACGUGUGCAACUGCCUUUAUCUGGGGAUAGCCUUUCGAAAGGAAGAUUAAUACUCCAUAAUAUAUUGAACGGCAUCGUUUAAUAUUGAAAGCUCCGGCGGAUAGAGAUGGGCACGCGCAAGAUUAGCUAGUUGGUGAGGUAACGGCUCACCAAGGCAAUGAUCUUUAGGGGCCUGAGAGGGUGAUCCCCCACACUGGUACUGAGACACGGACCAGACUCCUACGGGAGGCAGCAGUGAGGAAUAUUGGUCAAUGGGUGCAAGCCUGAACCAGCCAUCCCGCGUGAAGGACGACUGCCCUAUGGGUUGUAAACUUCUUUUGUAUAGGGAUAAACCUACCCUCGUGAGGGUAGCUGAAGGUACUAUACGAAUAAGCACCGGCUAACUCCGUG
rnacentral:rRNA from 1 species